rnacentral:rRNA from 1 species
UAGGGAAUCUUCGGCAAUGGACGGAAGUCUGACCGAGCAACGCCGCGUGAGUGAAGAAGGUUUUCGGAUCGUAAAGCUCUGUUGUAAGAGAAGAACGAGUGUGAGAGUGGAAAGUUCACACUGUGACGGUAUCUUACCAGAAAGGGACGGCUAACUACGUGCCAGCAGCCGCGGUAAUACGUAGGUCCCGAGCGUUGUCCGGAUUUAUUGGGCGUAAAGCGAGCGCAGGCGGUUAGAUAAGUCUGAAGUUAAAGGCUGUGGCUUAACCAUAGUACGCUUUGGAAACUGUCAAACUUGAGUGCAAAAGGGGAGAGUGGAAUUCCAUGUGUAGCGGUGAAAUGCGUAGAUAUAUGGAGGAACACCGGUGGCGAAAGCGGCUCUCUGGUCUGUAACUGACGCUGAGGCUCGAAAGCGUGGGGAGCGAACAGGAUUAGAUACCCUGGUAGUCCACGCCGUAAACGAUGAGUGCUAGGUGUUNGANCCUUUCCGGGAUUCAGUGCCGCAGCUAACGCAUUAAGCACUCCGCCUGGGGAGUACGACCGCAAGGUUG